rnacentral:rRNA from 1 species
AUUGAACGCUGGCGGCAGGCCUAACACAUGCAAGUCGAACGGUAACAGGAAGCAGCUUGCUGCUUUGCUGACGAGUGGCGGACGGGUGAGUAAUGUCUGGGAAACUGCCUGAUGGAGGGGGAUAACUACUGGAAACGGUAGCUAAUACCGCAUAACGUCGCAAGACCAAAGAGGGGGACCUUCGGGCCUCUUGCCAUCGGAUGUGCCCAGAUGGGAUUAGCUAGUAGGUGGGGUAACGGCUCACCUAGGCGACGAUCCCUAGCUGGUCUGAGAGGAUGACCAGCCACACUGGAACUGAGACACGGUCCAGACUCCUACGGGAGGCAGCAGUGGGGAAUAUUGCACAAAGGGCGCAAGCCUGAUGCAGCCAUGCCGCGUGUAUGAAGAAGGCCUUCGGGUUGUAAAGUACUUUCAGCGGGGAGGAAGGGAGUAAAGUUAAUACCUUUGCUCAUUGACGUUGCCCGCAGAAGAAGCACCGGCUAACUCCGUG